AACGAACGCUGGCGGCAGGCUUAACACAUGCAAGUCGAACGAGAUCUUCGGAUCUAGUGGCAGACGGGUGAGGAACACGUGGGAACAUCCCUUUCAGUUCGGAAUAACGUUGGGAAACUAACGCUAAUACCGGAUACGUCUUUCGGGAGAAAGAUUUAUCGCUGAAAGAUUGGCCCGCGUCUGAUUAGCUAGUUGGUGAGGUAACGGCUCACCAAGGCUACGAUCAGUAGCUGAUCUGAGAGGGUGAUCAGCCACAUUGGGACUGAGACACGGCCCAAACUCCUACGGGAGGCAGCAGUGGGGAAUAUUGGACAAUGGGCGCAAGCCUGAUCCAGCCAGGCCGCGUGAGUGAUGACGGCCUUCGGGUUGUAAAGCUCUUUUGUCCGGGAAGAUAAUGACUGUACCGGAAGAAUAAGCCCCGGCAAACUUCGUGCCAGCCGCCGCCGUAA
rnacentral:rRNA from 1 species